GAUGAACGCUAGCGGCAGGCUUAACACAUGCAAGUCGAGGGGUAUAGUUCUUCGGAACUAGAGACCGGCGCACGGGUGCGUAACGCGUAUGCAAUCUACCUUUUACAGGGGAAUAGCCCAGAGAAAUUUGGAUUAAUGCCCCAUAGUAUAGUUUUUCGCAUGAAGAGAUUAUUAAAGUACCAACGGUAAAAGAUGAGCAUGCGUCCCAUUAGCUAGAUGGUAAGGUAACGGCUUACCAUGGCGACGAUGGGUAGGGGUCCUGAGAGGGAGAUCCCCCACACUGGUACUGAGACACGGACCAGACUCCUACGGGAGGCAGCAGUGAGGAAUAUUGGUCAAUGGACGCAAGUCUGAACCAGCCAUGCCGCGUGCAGGAUGACGGUCCUAUGGAUUGUAAACUGCUUUUGUACGAGAAGAAACACUCCUAGUGUAGGAGCUUGACGGUAUCGUAAGAAUAAGGAUCGGCUAACUCCGUGCCAGCAGCCGCGGU
rnacentral:rRNA from 1 species